rnacentral:rRNA from 1 species
AAAUUGAAGAGUUUGAUCAUGGCUCAGAUUGAACGCUGGCGGCAGGCCUAACACAUGCAAGUCGAACGGUAACAGGAAGAAGCUUGCUUCUUCGCUGACGAGUGGCGGACGGGUGAGUAAUGUCUGGGAAACUGCCUGAUGGAGGGGGAUAACUACUGGAAACGGUAGCUAAUACCGCAUAACGUCGCAAGACCAAAGAGGGGGACCUUCGGGCCU